UUGCUCCUGCAGCAUGUGUACUAAAAUUGAAAUAAUACAAAGAAAGUGAACAUAGCUCCUGUGCCAGGGUGAUGCACAGAUUCAUUACGAGUUCAUAUAUAUUUUU